rnacentral:lncRNA from 1 species
ACUCUGUCACCCAGGCUGGAGUGCAGUGGCGCGAUCUCGGCUCACUGAAAGCUCCGCCUCCCGGGUUCACGCCAUUCUCCUGCCUCAGCCUCCUGAGUAGCUGGGACUACAGGCGCCCGCCACCACGCCGGGCUAAUUUUUUCUAUUUUUAGUAGAGAUGGGGUUUCACCGUGGUCUCGAUAUCCUGACCUCGUGAUCCACUCGCCUCGGCCUCCCAAAGUGCUGGGAUUACAGGCGUGAGCCACCGUACCCGGCCCAUUUCCAGAAAAUUCUAAAACAGACUUACUGACAUUUUGGGUUAAAAUUUUUGACACACACAAAGUGAGAUUAUAUUGUGUUGUGCUCAAGGUAAUUGCAGUUAGAGUUUUAAAAACCAAUACCACCAGGCAUGGUGGUGUGCACCUGUAGCCCCAACUACUAGGGAGGCCGAGGCAGGAGGAUCACUUGGGCCCAGGAGUUGGAGGCUGCGGUGAGCUAUGAUUCCACCACAGCACUCCAGCCUGGACAACAGGGCAAUAACUCAUCUCUAUUUAAAAACAAACAAACAAACAAAAAUGCCUCGUGUUCUCUAAGCAUGUGGGCUGGUGAUGGGCACAGGUUUCAACGUGGAAAACAAACACCUUCCUUUGACAGUGUCAGUGCAUCUCUGUGGUUUUAUACUCAUGUGGUCAUUUGUAAAUAUGUUGAAGUCUUCUUAUGAAUAUGAGGCUGGAGUAAGUGUCCCCCUGUCACCCCCUCCUCAUGAUGAACCUUAAGGAUGGGGCUAGUCUUUAUAGGAUUGGGCACCUGAGCAGGACUAGGGGUGAAGGUGGGGUCCUGGGAGAAUGUCUGGCACCAGCUCAAUGUCAUGGUCUUUGUUCCUCUGGGUGCUGGUGGCAACAAAUGAGGAUAGGCAGGUAGUAUUGCUGUACCUCUCCCUGUCCCCUUUCCUACCCUGAGGAAGUCCCCACCCUGCCUUGGGCUGGACCAGAGCUAGCUAGUGGCAGCUGUUGGACCUCCAGUGAGCUAGCCCUCAGCGUGGCAUUGUGGGGGCCAGGGCAAGAGGAGCUGUCCACACUGUGAUGUGGCCCCGGCCAACACUGAGAGAUGCCAUCAUCUAGGAGGAUUAUGACCAAGGGGCUGGGCUUACAGGUUAACCAGAUCAGCGUAGGAGAAGAGCAAACAAAGAGUUCAUUAUUAACCUUGUAAAUGUGUCCCCCAGGCCUGGCCUUCGCUGCUAUCACAUCGGCUGACUUAGUAAUCAUUGGUUCUAUAAUAAACCGUGGAGACCCAAGUCCUCUUUGCAUUGUCUCUAGAACUACUGGAUACUUCCUGGGUUUGCCACUAUCCUAUUUUCUAGUGGGGCCCUGUGAUCCCCAGAGACAGACCCGUGUUCAUUCUUAGCUUCAGCACUUACCAGUGGCACAACUGCAAAAAAGUGGUCCCUGUUAUUCCCACAGCCCAGCCUCUCUCGGGGUGACCUCGCCCUGGGAUGCGUCAUGUCUCAGCCUCACGCUUCAUUGUGGAUAACAGCUCCUGGAACCGGUUUAUUGUGGAGGCUCAGCUCAUUUGAAGACACAAACGUGAACCUUUUAUUCAUUCUAACCAGUGUUCCAUCACCUGGUAACAUCUCAAGCAGACUCUAUUACUUCCAGAUAAAUCCACAGUUAAAAGAACAAGUGGUUUGCUUGAGAAUGUCAGGCAUUUUCACAUCAAAGCACUUUGCCUCCCACUCUGCUGCCACCUAUUCUAUACCAGAGCUCUGCUCUGCACACCUGGGUGGCUUCCUGGCUCCCACCCCUUUCCUACUCUGGGCC